CGGCGCGGUUGCGGGUCACCCUGCGGCAGACUAACUUGAAGGUCCGGAAGUACCGCCCCCGAGCGCUCCUGAUUGGCGGCCCGGCCGCGCCGCCCGCCGGGGAUAGGCUGCGGAUGCCGUCAGCGCCGGGGAGAUGUGCUUCAUUCCAUGCAUGAGUGGGCAGUAGUGACUCCUAAUUUCUUUCAAGCUGUGUUUCUGGAGAUUUAUAUUCCUUCUGUAACGACGUGGUCAGAAAAAUAAAUGAAAAUCAAACAUAAUAACUGCAAAUGGAACAAACCAGUAAUAUUUCACGUUAUAAUUAGUCGAAACCAGGCUGCUUUAUCUUAAAGCAAUUACAUGUAAGUGGGAUGUAGGUUUUUGGAAAAAGCUUGGCAUUUCUGGCAGAGACACGAGAUAAAGGCAUCGCUGAUGACACUCAGAGGUAUUAAUGUAGUGGACACUCAGCCCUGCCAGCUGCAUGCAUUUUGGUGCUGCUCAUAUUUGGAUUUAAAGCCUAUCUGUGAUUUGUAUGGCGCGCACUUUUACACUUACUCCAAUGUAUUGCUGCUAAAUUGACUACAGUGUCCAAAUAAAUACUAAAAAUUAGAUACAUACAUACCAAAUAAAUACUAAUAAUACUAAGUUUUAAGGUUUUGGGCUUAAGCAGAUGACUCUUAGAAAGGCUUCUGGCCUUCAUCACCACAUCUUAUGUUCUAAUUAAAGCAUGUUUGCUUUCUUGCAUGGGGCCUAUUUUCACUGUAGGUGAAUUUGUUUGGCACAAAGGAAAAAAAGAAACUCAUCUGGUUUAGUCCUAACCAUCACACACGAUUUUUGUUUGUUUUAACCUUAAAGCUUCAUCUUUUCUGCUGUACUUAAUUUUAUCCACUGAGAUUUUUAAAGUUGAAUUUAAACAUGAGAGUGAAAUAGUCUUUGGUAACAAGCUGUUUACAAAUGGUUGCCAAAUGGUCUUUUUGUUGAAGGAUGUACUGCAGCAUUAUAUACCUCAAAUUGAUGCAUCUGUUUAUCUCCACACCACAUAACAACAGAUGUCAGUAAAGCACAGUUAGGAUAAGAAGUGUUGCUUCUACAAACACCCUUUCAGCUUCGGGUUAUUAAUUCUCUGUUGCAAAAUUGACAAAAUCAAGUGGGAGGAUAAAACAUCCAUCUUUUAGGGUCACACUGAAACAAAAUGGGACUUUGAUUACUUUCACAAAGUCACAUUUUGUCCCUUCCACGCUGUAAGGGUGGCUUGAGCUGUUUUUCCUUCUAUUUCACAGGUUACAGACUGAUUAAGAAUGCUGGUGGUGUACUGCGUGCUACUAAAUGAGAACGUGUAAACGCCAGCAGUUUUUUUCCCUAUACAGUUUAGAACUGUUUCAGAGGUUUCAAAUACAUACAGUAGCUCAGGAAACUCAUGGGAAGCACUCUUCAGAAAGGCAGCGCCUCUUUAGGUUCUACUUUGUCACUUCUCUUGGAUGCUCAGUAGGAAUGAGGCUCCAUCAAGAUGAGCACAGUAUUAAAGUACAAUCCAAAACUGAAUUGAGAAUAGAAAGAGUUUUUAACUCACACUGACUAAAGCUUUUGUUUCAGUAAUUACGUGAUCUUAGACUCUUCUGGAAGGAGUGAUGAGAUAUGGACGUAGUGUGUGACAGCAGUAUAGGGGCAGCCGAGGGGAAGCAACGUGGAGGAUAAUUAAGUUUGCAUCAAUCACAGUGUUGUGCCUGCAAUCCCCCAACACCCCCAGUCAAAAAAAAAAGCAAGUUUGCAGGUCUGCACGUACUCACUGUGGAAGGUGGGUGUGUGGGGUCUUCACAGGGGGCUGGAGGAGGUGGCAGAAAUUCCCUCACCAAAAGUGGCAGUGGGAGUCCAAGUACAGCUCCAGUGCAGGUGACGCCACUGAAAUUCUGGGGCAGAAGCAUCAGAAGUUGGUGUUAGUGCUUGCAAUGUGAAUGCUAGAGCUCCACCGUGUGGUUACAGCUGUGCACUGUGCACAGGCUGGGCCCUCAGCCCCGGGCUGCAGUGGCCAGAUCAAUGGAGGAAAUAUUGGCAGUGAACUCGGGCAGCUUCAUUCGAUGCUCCACGACAGCUGCACAAUUACAGUGCCAUUUGCUUCACUUCUACUGCUUUGCAGAUUUUUAAAUACAGGCAAUGUGGUGACUGGAAAAAACUACUUUGAACACAGCAGUUGAUAAGGAAAACAAAUGCAUAUUUCUUAAAACACAAAAAAUCAUGACGUCUUUACUGCUAAAGCACUGAGCGUGCUGGUGGUGGCACAAACAGCUGUGCUGUACUCAGGCAGGAUAUCACCAGCAUGGUGACUUCGGUGCAAGGAUGUAUGCCAUAGCAGAUUCACACAAAGCUGAGAAGAUACCAAACGAGGGAGGCUGUGCCAGGAGUAUAGUUUAUCAGGCAUGCGGUACAUCAAGCUUCUCUGCCCAGGUGUGCCAGGAAUGCGUAAUGUGUAACAUCAGGGAAGCCUGGCAGAGCUCAUUCCAUGAAAGGACAAUGCAACUUAGGUGAGACUGUUUUUAGAAGCUGUUAGAAAUAACCAUUACCUGCAGAACUGGUGUGAAGCACAGCACUGCUGGGCUAGGCUUUGUAUGAAUGUCACACAACGCCUUCAAGAGACAGCUUGGGCUAGGAUUUUUGAUUCUUUUACUUCUAUACCUUUCUAUUAUUAAACAGAAUAAUAAAAAAGAUAGUAAGUACCUACCAGAGUAAUGUACCAUCAAUAAAACUGCUUUUCUCCUGUAGCUAAAAGGCAGGAUACGUGAUGAUCUCUCCCAAGGUGUAUUUGUUGCAGAAUGAGGUUUUCCUGGUGCCCUGUGUGCACUUCACCAUCGAUCUCAAGCCAGACUGUUGCAUAGAACCACAAGAUAAGAGAUGACAUCUGUGGAACGCUAAUAGUAUUUUUCCUGUAACAGACAAGUUUAAUGACUACAGUUGCUAUGACUGCUGCAGCUUGCUAACUGUCUAAAGAUUAAAUACAUUAAGACCCAAACAGUUGGUAAACUUUUGAAACGAAGGAAUCUUAUCCUUACAGUAACAUCAUUGCAUGAGUGGAGAGAGAUGGGAAUGUUUUUUUCCUGUGACCAGCAUAGCACACUGUAAGUGCCUGCAGUUAGCUUAAGCUGUCUUUAUUAAAGCACCAUUCUUUGGACAUCACCUCUGAAGAUGCCUGCACUGUGGGAUGAGGUAGUAGGUUGUAUAGUUUUAGGGUCAUACCCGCAACUGGGAGAUAACUAUACAAUCUACUGUCUUUCCUAAAGCAGCAGAAAAUCAACAACGGAGACCGUUCAGUUUUAAGCACAGUGUCAGAUUGUCCCAAACUUCUGUACUCGGAGUGUUUAUUAUAGCAGACAAAUAUUUCUGCAACGCCUACAGGUAAUUACUUCUGGAUUUUUUCUAAUUCUCUACAUUAAUUUAUCUUCUCUAAGGAUAACACGUAAGAACAGAUUGAUUCCUUUAAGGUGGGGUAAUGGUUGAUGUUCUAAUAAGUUGUGUUAACACUGCUAACUGAAGCAUCAAAUAUUAAUACUCGAGAAUGAGACUGUGGUUAGCUACUUCAGCAAAGAGCUUAAGUACAUGCUUCUCUGUCAGAGUGAGGUAGUAGAUUGUAUAGUUGUAGGGUAGUUAUUUUACCCUGUUCAGGAGAUAACUAUACAAUCUAUUGCCUUCCCUGAGGAGUAAAACAAACUGCGGUCCUUUGCUGUUGUUUGUUUCCACGUUGAGUAAGAGUUUACUUGUCAGAUAAGUUCAGGGUUGGAGAGUAUCACAUUAAUCCUGUAAAUUCUGUCCUUAAUUAACGAUCAGUUUGAAUGGUGCAAAUCCCAAACCUUAUGGAACUAAUACAACUUUUCUUUCAAGGUGAGUGGCACAGCACUGUCUGGACAUCAACAAUGCAUCUCUUAUAGAUACAGAACUGAAUACACCAUAGACUGGAAAUCAUUCUAAAACGAUUUGGUUUUGAACCUAAAAGUAGUCUUGGCUCAAGCUUAUACAUGGUGACAUAAACUGUUUUAAUUUCUGUAAUACAUUAACAUUCCAUCACUGUUCUGUAGAAGCUGGGAGACUUACAGUCAUACUUCAUUAAUACGCCUGCUUAUUUUUCUCUAGCUCUCGUAGCCAGUGAGACUUAAACAAUGUAAUACAAAGAUUAAAGUGUUGAAUGGCCAAAAUUGAUCCCUUCAACUGUUUAGGAGAAUGUAAAGCUAUGAAAUUUGAGUGCUCAAGAUCCAGAAUUGUAACUUCUGUCUGAAGAGGUUACCGAUUUUAUAAGAAGGCAUUUAAAGAUUGUGUUCUUUAUACCCCAUAAGCGCUAGGUGUACCCCCAUCUAGCUGCUUCUGCCCUAGGGUGACCACCUAACAUCUUCCUAUAACAACAAGGAACAAAAAGCAUGAAAACAUUCUGAUGACUGAAAGUUUAGCGUAGUAAGAGUGAAAAUGGAGCCAUUAAUGAGUACUUAAGCCAGGAAUGUUAACUGGUUAACCACUUAUUAAACAGUGCUAACUGUAAACUUGUAGUACAUGCCCUGGCCUAAAAAUGCAGAAGACCAAAAGCAGCUGGUAAGCUAAGCUGGCUUCACAGAGCAGCUGCUAAGCAAGAAGAACUGCAGAAAGGAAGCAUUGGGCUCCUAGGAAGAGGUAGUGGGUUGCAUAGUUUUAGGGCAGGGAUUUUGCUCACAAGGAGGUAACUAUACAACCUGCUGCCUUUCUUAGGGCUUUAUUAUAACACCAGGACCAUUUUGGCUCCAUCCUAACCUCUGCAGCUUUGGUAUGUGAAGAGAAGUGAAGCUGUUUCUAAGCAUAUUGAGGUUUAAUGAAACUGGUGUCUCAGCAAAUUUGGUACAGACUUGAGCACAGUACUAUUAACUGGAAUUUGGUAUUGUGAAAUGCUGCAUUUCAGGGCACACAUGUCAUUUUGUUGACAUUGGUGUUGUGAUAACUUACAAAGAUAAUGAAAAAAAAUUCUAAGAGUAAGAUCAGAUUCCCUACAAUUAGGAUGGAGGUGUUACAUACUUCUUAACGUUCAGUUAAGUACUAAUGCUACAUACUUGCAAACAGGCAGCUAUAAUGCACCUUCCUUUGGCUUUGUGAAGUUUCCAAGGAUCAACUUAAAACUCACCUGAAAGCUGGUGGGUUCCUGCAGGCAGGAAUAGGUUCUCCCAAAAAGUCAUGCUCUGUCAUGGAAUACUUGCAGUCCUACAGGAGCGUUUUCAAAGUGAAUGACUGCACAUCUGCUGUGGGGUUGUAUGUUGAGAAGUAGAUAAUGCUUUCAUGUAAUUACAGUGCAGUACCACCAUUGUUCUGGUAGGGCUUCAUCCAGAUGUGCUCUGCUGUGGGAUACAGAGACCCUUAACUGCUGAUCAUCUUGGAAGAUUAAUGCUUUAUGCUUACAGCAGCCAGUUUUUAGAGUUCUGGCAAGACAGAAUCCUAGAUAUUAUAAACAUACUUAGUAUGUUAAUGGAAAUUGUCUAUUCAUUGAAGUGUACACACUUGAUUUACUCAAUAAAAGAAUUUUAUGCAACUCCUAUGGUGAAUUGACUUUACUUUCUACAAAAUAAGGAAGUGAAUUUUACAGGAAAACACCGCUCAGACUACUGAAGUGAAAUCAAGACCAUAUUAAAAGAAGUUUUAACAGUAAUUAGUGUAAAAAAUCCCAGUGUAAAUUGUGAUUUUUGAUAUGAGACAUCACUGAUGGGAGACGAGGGGAAUCCUUACUUACAACUUUACUGUUGAAUGCAUAGGAAUUCUGCUUACUCCAGAGCUGUUAUCUGAGCAUAAGUUCUAAUUGUUGCUCACGAAUGUAGACUUUUGAGAAGGUGAGCUCUUCUCUUGACUACACCUUGAUUUUUGCAUACAGUUGGUAAGGCAUCAGCAGGUACUAUUUAGGGAGGGAAAUGGAUACCCUGAAGUUUCAGUUUUUGCAGUAUUAAAACGCCUUAAAAGCUUCAGCACACUGAACACUAACCUGUGUAUAAGGUGUAUGCUUAUGAAAGACUUGAAUAAUCAAAUCAGUGCUAGCAACUGCAACACUGCAUGCUAUGUUAUUAAAGCCUGUGUUAGGGAAGAACUCUAACCAGAUGAAAACCAGCAGCUACAUAGGCCUGUUAAUGUUCAGUUUGGUAUAAUAUGCAAGUUUUAGGCUUGAUGUGCACAUAUCUGUCCUGCAAAUAUAACAUUUCAUGUUACUAUCAGUGCUGCUGGCUCUCUUUUAACAGUAUACGUUUGAAGACAAAAAGUACACGUAGCUUUUAAUUUAUUAGUUUGACUGAAGUUGUAAACAUCUCAACAUUGAAAAAAGGCACUGAUCAGAAAAUGUUAAAAACAGAACCCGUCUUCAUGGACUCCCAAGUGCUAUUUAGGUAAAAGUACCUGAAUUUUGGGAUUAGUAUCUCCACAUGCUUUCAGUGUACUGUAAGCAGAUAGUGGAAAGAGAUACUGCCAUGUCAUAUACGGUCCCUCUUAUAUAACAUAAGCAGCCUUAAGGAAGGCAGCUAAUACUCAGUUCAUCAUUAUUCUUUUAAAACAGUUCAUUAGUUCUUGAUUUAAGGAUGCUAACCCCUGCCCCUCAUCUGCUCAGUAGGGGCUGUCUCACCCACGGCAGGUGCAGGCAUUUCCUCCAUUGUAAUUCGAAGCAGCUUGAUUAAGUGACAAGGCUUGAACUAGGAAGGAAUUACGCUGUGGUUCAGCUCUCAUGUAACAAUCAGAUUAUUUCUUACCUUGAUGAUCUGCAGGUUCCACCCUGUAAAUGGUAUCUGCUUAGCAGAGCACAUGGUUUGUUUGCCUUUUUUCCACAUGGAUAUCCAGUGAGGGGUCCAAGGAUGAGGUGGUAGUGCAGAAAGAAUCCUUCCGCUCAAGAAACAGUAGCUAAAGAAUGCAUAGCAAACAGCAGAAAAGUCUGCAGUAACAGUAGAGACAUGUUUACCACCCAUACCGAAGCAGUUUUGUCAUGGUGGUCUUGGAAACAUUCCAGUAGAGCUCUGAAAAUAGAAUAUAGCUGCUGUGGUGAUCCACAUCCCAGGAGAAUCGUUUGUGUUCCCUGCCUCUCCAUGCAGGAAGGUGAGCUUGGACAUCUUCCUGGUAGAAUGCAACCCGACACCUGCUGAGAUUUUCUAUACCAGAAAACAUUACUAGCAAACACUUUCAUUUCUAGAGAGACUUUGGGCACUUAGUGCCACAUUCACAGCCUAUGUACUUAAUGCAUUAAGAGUUACAGUUGCUGUGCUGCCUUACAGACGUAGGAUUGGGGCAGACACCAUAUUAAAAUAGUGUUGCCACAAGAAUUACUGAGAUUUCUGCAUAGCUUUUAGAUAACAAAGCUCCUAAGGAGCAUAUUCCACCAUACGAUAGUCUUACUAUAGCUUGAAAGGUGUUCUCUGCUAGAGUUUGUGUGGCUGGCAAAGGUUUACAUACUUAACUAUUGGUUUUCCUUUGUGCUUCUGUAUUUGACCUCCUUCCAACCAGAGGGAACAGAUGCAAGGAAAAACCUUUACAGAGAGAUGUUAGCAACAUGCACUUAGAACUACCAUAUCAUUUAUAUUUAGAUUCCUGGACUGCUUGAUCCAGUCAUUUGCAAUGCCAUGUCAUCCUUACACCAAAAAGCAGCUCUUGCUGCCUUUGGGCAAGCAGCAGGCUGGACUCAGUAAUAGGUGCAUACAGGUAGUCCAUCAUCUCUUGGAUUUACCAAGCAGUCUGUGUAAAAUACCUGAGAUAUACAUAUAUAUCAGUGUAUUUCAGACAUCCUCUUUUUCUUUCCAUAUAUAUAUAUAUAUGGAUAUAUAUCCCUUAUAUAUAUAUAUAUAUAU
ensembl:lncRNA